rnacentral:misc_RNA from 1 species
GAUGAAGAACGUAGCGAAAUGCGAUAAGUAAUGUGAAUUGCAGAAUUCAGUGAAUCAUCGAAUCUUUGAACGCACAUUGCGCCCGCCAGUAUUCUGGCGGGCAUGCCUGUUCGAGCGUCAUUACAACCCUCAGGCCCCCGGGCCUGGCGUUGGGGAUCGGCGGAAGCCCCCUGCGGGCACAACGCCGUCCCCCAAAUACAGUGGCGGUCCCGCCGCAGCUUCCAUUGCGUAGUAGCUAACACCUCGCAACUGGAGAGCGGCGCGGCCAAGCCGUAAAACACCCAACUUCUGAAUGUUGACCUCGAAUCAGGUAGGAAUACCCGCUGAACUUAAGCAUAUCAAUAAGCGGAGGA